rnacentral:lncRNA from 1 species
GACAGAAACUUAUUGUUCAGGAUGCAUUCUGCAGGUUCCAUUACUGANNNNNNNNNNUUGUAUACAACGGAGGCUACUUUGCUUGACAGAAACUUAUUGUUCAGGAUGCAUUCUGCAGGUUCCAUUACUGAUGUGGUACACAAUGCUUACUACACAUGUCACCUUAUUUUCUUGUUAUGCAAUUUAUCUAAUUAAGCAAAUGUCUCAGCGUCAUAUAUUGUUAAUAUGCAUUGCUACUAUAGACCAUGGAGUAAGUUAGAUCUUCUUCCUGCCGCAAGCACGUGCAUUGCAAGCUUGCCCAUAUUUUUUGUAGCCACUAUACUUUAUUUUUCUAUGUCUGUGCAUUAUUGGCAUGUCAAUUGAAGAAUUUAAAAAUACCCCUACAAAUUAUGACAUAGCUCAAGUUUUAUCUUUUUGGGGUCAAUGAUUUGACAUCUGAAUCAGAUGUGUUAACAUGAGCUACACAAAAUUUAAGUAUGUUAUAUCAUCCAUAAUGCUAGAAUAUUCAUAAGUGAUUUCUAUAGGUUCAUUCUUUUUACCAUGGUGUUCGUACAAGGAUAACAUGAUAUAGACAAACUAUAAUCAUGCUUUCCUGCAUUGCAAGUUGCCCAUAUUAUUUUUAGAUGUUGGUUCUCUUCAUUUUCAUUUUAAAGUUUUAGUCUCAAGGCAUCCAUGCUAGCUUACUAUAGAAUUGAACACAAUUGAUGAACCUGAAAUCUUUAUGGGCGAGGUGCUGUAGCGAGAUUACUUUUUUUAAUCUGUUUUUCACGCCGAGAGAUGGUGAAAUUGUCCAUGCUCAGUGUCAUUCCUUGUUCUUAUUCNNNNNNNNNNUUGUAGCGAGAUUACUCUUUUUCUGUUUUUCACGCCCAGAGAUGGUGAAAUUGUCCAUGCUCAGUGUCAUUCCUUGUUCUUAUUCAUGAGCUGCCAUGGUUAGUGUCACGUGUAUGCAGAAUUGUAUUUCAUAAUACUGAACAACCUUGCAGGUGACAUAUUUUCCUUCUAGGUGGCCUGGUCUGCGACAGCAUACUGGUGGCAGCGAGCACCGAAAGAUAGAGAUGCACGUAAGGAAUUGCCUAUUAGUGGCAUCAAGCACCAGAAUUGAAGAUGCAAAAUAGGGUAGGGGAAAGAUAUGGCAGUGAAGAGAGUUGUUUGGUAUGUGCGUGUCUACGUGGUUGUUGGGUUGUUCUGUGUUGUAAGUGCAGUCGAAAUUUUUGGCCAACAUACUUGAAAGUAUAGUCUGUACACAUGUGAAUUAUAAUUUUGGCCACUGAAUUACUAUGGUGACCAAAUCAACACCGAAACGGUUAGCA